AACCUGGAGGACUAGUGGUUCGGCCUCGGUGCUCUCGCUGCCGCAGCCUGGGUUCGAUUCCUGGCCAGGGAA
rnacentral:tRNA from 1 species